rnacentral:rRNA from 1 species
UACGUAGGGGGCUAGCGCUGUCCGGAAUCAUUGGGCGUAAAGAGCGUGUAGGCGGUCCGGUAAGUCCGCUGUGAAAGUCGGGGGCUCAACCCUCGAAUGCCGGUGGAUACUGUCGGGCUAGAGUGCGGAAGAGGCGAGUGGAAUUCCUGGUGUAGCGGUGAAAUGCGCAGAUAUCAGGAGGAACACCUAUUGCGAAGGCAGCUCGCUGGGACGUAACUGACGCUGAGACGCGAAAGCGUGGGGAGCAAACAGG